rnacentral:rRNA from 1 species
CCUACGGGUGGCAGCAGUGGGGAAUAUUGCACAAUGGGCGCAAGCCUGAUGCAGCCAUGCCGCGUGUGUGAAGAAGGCCUUCGGGUUGUAAAGCACUUUCAGCGGGGAGGAAGGCGGUGAGGUUAAUAACCUCAUCGAUUGACGUUACCCGCAGAAGUAGCACCGGCUAACUCCGUGCCAGCAGCCGCGGUAAUACGGAGGGUGCAAGCGUUAAUCGGAAUUACUGGGCGUAAAGCGCACGCAGGCGGUCUGUCAAGUCGGAUGUGAAAUCCCCGGGCUCAACCCGGGAACUGCAUUCGAAACUGGCAGGCUAGAGUCUUGUAGAGGGGGGUAGAAUUCCAGGUGUAGCGGUGAAAUGCGUAGAGAUCUGGAGGAAUACCGGUGGCGAAGGCGGCCCCCUGGACAAAGACUGACGCUCAGGUGCGAAAGCGUGGGGAGCAAACAGGAUUAGAUACCCUAGUAGUC